rnacentral:rRNA from 1 species
AGCCUGAUCCAGCCAUGCCGCGUGUGUGAAGAAGGUCUUCGGAUUGUAAAGCACUUUUGUUUGGGAGGAAGGGCAGUNAGUUAAUACUUUGCUGUUUUGACGUUACCNANAGAAUAAGCACCGGCUAACUUUGUGCCAGCAGCCGCGGUAAUACGGAGGGUGCAAGCGUUAAUCGGAAUUACUGGGCGUAAAGCGCGCGUAGGUGGUUCGUUAAGUCGGAUGUGAAAUCCCCGGGCUCAACCUGGGAACUGCAUUGNAAACUGACGAGCUAGAGUNUGGUAGAGGGNGGUGGAAUUUCCUGUGUAGCGGUGAAAUGCGUAGAUAUCGGAAGGAACACCAGUGGCGAAGGCG